rnacentral:rRNA from 1 species
ACACGUAUGAAAGUCAAGCUGAAAGACUUUACUCAAUAAUGUAAGUGGUGGUGCAUGGCCGUUCGUGGUUCGUGGAAUGAUCUGUCUGGUUUAUUCCGAUAACGAGCGAGACCCCAGCGUUCUAAAUAUGGGGGUCCUGCCCGAUUUGCUGCCAGGCAAUAUCAGCAGGACCCUAUAAAACAUACUUCUUAGACGGAUGAGGGCUGACAAAGUCCUUGAAAUGGGUUAAUAACAGGUCAGGUAUGCCCUUAGAUGUUCUGGGCCGCACGCGCGUUACAAUGGCAUGUAAAGAAGGUGCUUUUUGGAGUGGCCCCGUGCUGAGAAGCUUCGGUAAUCCGUAGACCCUGCCUUGACUGGGAUAGUCCAUUGUAAUUAUUGGUCUUGAACGAGGAAUUUUUAUUAGGCGCAGGUCAUUAAUCUGCGCCGA